rfam:Nematostella vectensis strain CH2 x CH6 NEMVEscaffold_382_Cont25602, whole genome shotgun sequence.
GUUUCCGUAGUGCAGUGUUUAUCACGUCUGCCUCACACGCAGAAGGUCCCCAGCUCGAGCCUGGGCGAAAACA